UGUAUUAAUUAUGUUAUAAAUCUUCUACUCCCUCUGUUCCAAAAUGUAAGUCAUUAAACGAAAUCCUAGUCAAAUUUUUUUAGGCUACGAAAUUCCUGGAGUUUCCAAAUUUGCCCUCGCUCGCGACAAGAACAGAUCACCUCUGACGGGUCGCGGACAGCUCACCCUCUUCCUCGCUCGCCUUCUUCCUCUCGUAUCCACCGCCGUCGGCGUCUUCCUCACUGCGCCCCACCACGUUGCUGCCGCCGCCGCCUUGCUCCCGCAUGCCUUGUAUCCCUCCUCUAUUCCACUGCCGCGCUACCACCUCAGUAGGUUCCGUGGAGAAGAUGGUGAGGCCAAGGUCAGAUUUUUCUGGCCAUGGGCGGCGGAUCUGCAAGCGGCAGAGCUGGAUCCUUCGCUUCUUCGCCCCCCACCCUUAUGGAUUUACAACAUCCAUCCUUUACUCUGUCCGUGUCAUUGUUGUUUACCCCUGGGAGUGUUUUUAACUUGAAAAUCUCUGGUGAACUACCAUUUGGAGUACAUUUGCUUGCUCUAUUAAUUUUCUUGGAUUACUCCAUCUUGCUCUGUUAAGUACUCCAUCUUGCUCUGUACAGUACAUAGUCAAAGCUACUCCAACAGUACAUAGUCAAAAUUACUCCAACAAGAUUGCUUGGAGUAUUUAACAAGAUUUAACUUGUCAACAUUAACAGUAUUUUUCAGUAAGUAUUCUGUACAUGCAAGUGUUCUGAACAUGCUUCUGAAUAUUUCCAGAUUCUGAACAUGCAAGAAAAUCUGCAGGAGUAAACAAGUUCUUUCAGUAGAUAUUGCAAGUGUUUGUUCUGAACAUGUACUCUUACUGAAGAUAUUGCAAGUGUUUGUUCUGAACAUGUACUCUUACUGAAGAUAUUGCAAGUGUUUGUUCUGAACAUGUACUCUUACUGAAGAUAUUGCAAGUGUUUGUUCUGAACAUGUACUCUUACUGAAGAUAUUGCAAGUGUUUUCUGAACAUGUACUCUUACUUUGCUUGGAGUAAUUAACUGGACAUCUUGGAGUACUCCAAUCAUGAAUUAUUUGCAGAAAUUCAGUGAAGUACUGUACUCGAGUGUGCAUUAAUUACAUAAACUUGCUUGCUGUUAACUGUUGUAGCAUUAGGAGUAGUUUUACUGCAGUACUGCUUGAACUACUGCAAGCAUUAGGAGUACUGUAAAUGGAGUGCUUGCAUUAGGAGUAGCAAGUGCAGCAGUAGCCCUAAAUCCAGUAGCUGCAAUAAUGAAACCUUUUCAAACAAAAAUGAUCAUACAAAUGGAGUAAAAAUAACUUUUCAGUUAAUUUAAAUUAACUGAAGCUUUUCCAGUUAAUUAAAAUGAACUGAAACCUUUUCUGUUAAUUAGGGAGGACAACAGUAGUAUAGCACUGCAGCAGGAGUACUUUGUUUUAGAGUAUUAACUGAAACUUCUUCAGUUAAUUAGGAGUAGUAAGCAAGCUGAUUUCCAGUACCAAUUCCUUAGAUUUAAAUUAACUGGAGUAGUGUAGCACUUGCUCUCUCUUCUUCUCUUGUAGUAGAGGAAGAGGAGCAGCAGACAUGAUGAGAUGCAGAGAUAGUUCAUCAUGCCCAUCACUUUGUUCAAGUGCCAUGUAUGUUCUUCAGAGAACAUGGCUAAUAUUAUGGGCUGCCACAUUGGUCAGCUAACUUUGAUCGAUCAGCAUUUUGCAGUUAGGUGAGUGAUAAUCCGCUUGUUGUGAUUAUGCAGCUGCAGCCUGUCUUCCUUGAACAUGGGUGAAGCAUAUUUUUUGGAUAUACUCCCAAAAAUAUCAUUGGUGUAUUACUCAAAAGGAGAUGGUUCAUAAGGUGGUUAUGACAAUGAAGACAAGGUUGCCAGGGCUUAUGAUCUGUCUGCUCUGAAAUAUUGGGGGGCCAUCGACGCACACCAAUUUCCCGGUAUGCAUGACAACAUGACUUGGUUCAUGGAAACUAAAACUGUCGAUGUGCAUUUUCUUAAUGUAAAGUACUCCAGAUUAGUGGAAAAUUAUUGAGAGGUGGAGGAGAUGUAAAGCAUGACAAGGCAGGAAUUCGUUGCACACUUGAGAAGAUGACAGCAUUUUCAGUCUAAGUACUCCAGGCAGAGGUUCUUUCAGAAUUUUAUUUAAAGUAAAUCGGCGUGUCAACAGGAUGGCAGAGGUUCUUUCAAAAUUUACAGAAUCGAUUUGUGCUUCAAGAUGACAGCAGGUUCUUUCAGAAUUUUCUUUAUUUUAAACAGCUCUCAAAAUAGUAUUGCUCCAUCAGUAGAAUCAGAAUUUUCUUUAUCUUAAAAUCAGAUUAUGAUUCAAAAAAAUUCUUUAUCCUAAACAACAGAGAGAGGAGAUGACCAUCAUAUUGUUUGUGCUUGCAGUGUUUCAGUCUAUGAUCAUCAAAUUGUUUGUGCUUGCAGUUAUCUCCUGGAGUUAGUUUCAGCAGAGAGAGGAGAUGAACCUGGGCAGCAGCCGAGCCUCAACCUGGGUGCGGGCGAGGAAGAGCCCAGCACCAGGUUGCCUCCACCUGGGCGCGCGCGGGCCAGGAGGAGCCCCUGGGCGUGGAGGAGGAGCGCCUGGGCGUGCGAGGACGCAGAUGGAGGUGGACUGGAGCGCCUGGCCGGAGGCGGGGCGGGGCGGAGGCGGAGGUGGAGGGUGGGGCGGAGGUAGAAGACUAGGACCAGGGGUAUUAACUGUUAGAGUUAUAAUAUAGGUCAUGUACCCCUUUGUAUUUAUCCCGUUGUAUAAGGGGUUUCCUGCAUAUGUUCCACACCUGUACAUGUAUAUAUAUCGGCCUAUGGCCUCAUGGGAAUAUAAGUUGCUUAUUCCAAACAUGGUAUUAGAGCUUUAGGUCUCUUUUUUCGCACGUGCAACUCGUGCUACGAUCCAAUCCCGUCGCCGCCGUGUUUUCUCCCUCCCGCUCGAAGGCUCGCAGCUGUCGUCGCUCCCUCCCUCCCGCUCGAAGUCCCCGUCGCUGCUGCUCUCCUCCCGAUCGGCCGCCGCCUCUCCUCCCGAUCGAGUGGAUCGCCAGGCUGGGCUGGGUUGCUGCUCUCCUCCCGAUCGGCCGCCGCCUCUCCUCCCGAU